UACUAGAGUAGCACUCGCAUAUCAAUAAGCGGAGGAAAAGAAACUAACAAGGAUUCCCCUAGUAACGGCGAGUGAAGCGGGAAGAGCUCAAAUUUGAAAUCUUAAAGGGUUUCCCUUUACGAAUUGUAGUUUAAAGAAGUGUUUUCUGUUGAGGUUUUGGUAAAAGUUCUUUGGAAUAGGACAUCAUAGAGGGUGAGAAUCCCGUAUUUGACCUUUACUUUCAACUUUGUGAUACACUUUCAAAGAGUCGGAUUGUUUGGGAAUGCAGUCCAAAAUGGGUGGUAAAUUUCAUCUAAAGCUAAAUAUUGGCGAGAGACCGAUAGCGAACAAGUACCGUGAGGGAAAGAUGAAAAGAACUUUGAAAAGAGAGUUAAACAGUACGUGAAAUUGUCAAAAGGGAAGCGUUUGACACCAGUGUUGUUUUUCUGAAAAUCAAUUAAAGAACUGUUUAUGCUAAGCUGUUUAGACUUUAUCAGCUAUCUGUUUAGUUUUAGGCUCUUCUUUAAUGCACUUUUCAGUUAACAAGUCAACAUCAAUUUCUUUUGCUGUAAAAAAGCUUGAGGAAGGUGGCUUGAGAUUCGUCUUAAGUGUUUAUAGCCUCUUGCCUAUGCAGUCGGAGAGAUUGAGGUCUGCAGCGUAGAUCCUUCGGGGCUAAAUGCAUUUGUGCUAAGUUAUAGCAUUUCAUAGACAACUUGUUGACUAUGAUUUGUCUUGUAGCUUACUCGCUUAUGUUAUUUUACCUACGCUUAGGAUGUUGAACUACUGAGACAUAGA
rnacentral:rRNA from 1 species